AAUAAAAAUGUGUACAUCAGAACAAACGUAUGAUUCAAUUAAAACUUCAUAAUCCAGUUCAUCUACCAAUCUUUAUUGAAUUCUUUGUUAUCACUCUUCACUAUUGUCUAAACUAAUCUAAACGAAAUUCAUGCUGUUAAUUAAAUUAGAGUAGAAGCAUUGCCAUUUAUCAUUCAAACAGGCUCAGUCAACGAUGGUUGUCCCAUUUUGCAAUUGAUAGAUCCUUCGAUCAAGAUUAUAAAACCCUUCUACGAGCAUUAAAACAAUCAUCUGCAUUGAAGUCCAUAGCAUUCUUUCAUAAUGAGAUUCUUAAUAUAUUCAUGUAUAUAGAUACAAUUGAUAUAAUAUACUAUUACAAAUAAUAAUAGGCGGUGAUCGGCACCGUUGUAACUGCAGAUGAGACUCGAGAACAUACGUAACAAAAGGCAUAGAUUUGCUUUUCAAAAUCCCCUUUCAUGCUCUAAACAUUCAUGAUUCUUUUCCCCUGGUGCACCUUGAUGUAGUUACCACACAGACAGACCACCUGUCCAUUGAAUGUACGACUUAGCCCUAGCCCUAUCCUAGCUGCUACCUGAACAUGUGCUAAAUCUUCCAAUACUCAUAAUUUCAUAGUUGUUUAAUAAGGUGACGAAAGUGUAAAACAUUGCCAGGUAAACCUUUAUUACUAGUUUCAAAAGAAAGACGAGUUGUGAAUUCUUGGUUCUAAAUAUAUGCGCAAACGCGGCAGCGGCAUCUGCGCACCGCCUCCACAAGACCGCAGGACUGCGCAACAACACGCGGUACGCCAUGUUGCUAUCUGCUAACCUCUAUCGUUACCAUUCAAAGAGUUCGCGUUCGUUUCCAAUUAAUAUUUCAACAGGAAAAUAUAUUUUGGGGGUGGACCCUCAGGUUCCCGCAGCGUUUGGAGCCGACUCGAAAAACACCCGAACAUGAAAAUAAGUUUUGUCGCCCGGCGGUCUCGGUUUGCUGUGUUACCAGCCUGUCUCACAAAUACGUAGACGUUACACGUAGAGUUCGCAUAACAUGGCACGAACGCACUAGCACCGUCAUUCUGUAUUGAUUUUGCACGUUUAACAUCUGGGAAACACCUCCAAUAUCACCCAGGAGUACUGGGAGAGGUCUGUUCCCAGCCAUGUGUGGUUCAAGGUUAGCAGUCAAGGUCCAAUAUAAUGAAGUCAGGGCCAGAGGUCCAUGCCCACCCACGUGGCAGCAGGUUAUAAGAGUAGAAGUUAGGAAAGAAAUUCUUUCUUCCCAAAGCCAUACUGGGAGGAGACUAGUGUAAUGUUUCAAAGAACAUAUUUAGUGCGUAUUGCAAGCUGUUACAAUUUUGACACAGUGGUAUUUUAAAUAAAAGUAUUUGCAUUAAUGAGAUUGUAUGAGUCAAUGCUAGUUCUAUAGCACAAUUUCACUGUCAAUUCUUCUUUUCAUCCCUUUUGGUAGGGACCAAUUUCUUAAGGAUAAUAAAGGCAACAGCAGAAUGUUAUUUGCUAUGGAUGGAGUGUUACCACGUUGGCUAACAGUCUGCAGCACUUGUUUCAGUUAAUUUAAAGACAUAGAUUGUGAAUGCAGGUGAUGAAGUGUGAAACAUUGCCCGGGAAACCUAUAGUACCAGCUUCAAAAGGAAGAUGAGCUGUGAAUGGUUAGUUUCAAAUAUGUACGCAAACGCGGUAGCGGCACCUGCGCACCGCUUCCACAUGACCGCGGGACUGCGCAACAACACGCGGCACGCGGCACGCCAUGUAGCUAUCUGCUAACCUUUAUCGUCACCAUUCAAAGAGUUCGCGUUCGUUUCCAAUUAAUAUUUCAACAGGAAAAUAUAUUUUGGGGGUGGACCCUCAGGUUCCCACAGCGUUUGGAGCCGACUCGAAAAACACCCGAACAUGAAAAUAAGUUUUGUCGCCCGGCGGUCUCGGUUUGCUGUGUUACCAGCCUGUCUCACAAAUACGUAGACGUUACACGUAGUGUUCGCGUAACAUCACCAUCCUGCGACCUAUAUUGAUUUCACAUGUUUAACAUCUGGGAAGCAGCUUCAAUGUCACCCAGAAAUAUUGGGAGAGGUCUGUACCUAGCCAUGGUUCAAUGUUAACAGUGAAGGUCCUAAAUUUCUGAAAAUUUCUUAAUUGCCGAAAAUAUUGGUAUUUUAAGACAACAGAACUGUCGAAGAUGCUAAAUUGUCAAGUAUUUGGACACUCUAAAUACCUGCACAUUUUACAUAGUUACAAAAAUCAUUGGUGCCAGGCAAUUUCAGUUUCUCAGGAAUAUUGCAAUUUUCGAGAAUUUAAUCAUUGUAAGAGAUCCAGAAAUUUUCGGGUACUGCGACUUGCUAUUACUCUAGUGAAAAGGAAAUUAAUGAAACAUGCACCUUCUGUUGUUUGUCAUUCAUGGUUCCCAACGUGUGUACCUGCUGCGAACCUCUUGAAUUCGAUUGCUUUUGUGCACCUUGAUGUGGCUACCCCUCAAAUUGAAUACCUGCCCACAGAAUAAGCCCUAGCUAAACCCAUGUCAAGUGUGUGGGUUUAUCCUACGUUUUGUCAUGCUCAAUGUAUGAAUAAAAGUUAUAACUUAUGAA